rnacentral:lncRNA from 1 species
ACUUGUUUUGCAUUGCAUUGCAUUGGCGUUAGGCUUGUCACAAAGAAGAUACCACUCUUAGAGAAUGUUGUUCACUCUCAAUGUAGAUCAACAACUAAAUAAGUGUGAUUAGAGCAAUGAUUGUGCUUCCAUGCCUAUGGAGUCAUGUCCUAACGAACUUAAAUUUUCCAUCUCUAAGUUCAUAGGCAAAUGACUCACAUUCCCUUUUUGGAGUUCCC